CGUCGAUACGUUCCGGGCCUUGUACACACCGCCCGUCAAGCCAUGGAAGCUGGGGGUGCCUGAAGUGCGUAACCGCAAGGAGCGUCCUAGGGUAAAACCGGUAACUGGGGCU
rnacentral:rRNA from 1 species